GAUGAACGCUGGCGGCAGGCCUAACACAUGCAAGUCGAGGGAGAAGCCCUUUCGGGGGCAGAAUCCGGGGCACGGGUGCGUGACGCGUAUGCGACCUACCUUUCACCGGGGGUUAGCCCGAAGAUAUGUGGAUUAAUACCCCAUCAUAUUAUUAGAUGGCAUCAUUUGUUAAUUAAAACUGCGUUGGUGCAAGAUGGGCAUGCGUCCUAUUAGCUAGUUGGAGUGGUAACGGCACCCCAAGGCUACGAUGGGUCGGGGUCCUGAGAGGGAGGUCCCCCAGACUGGUACUGGGACAGGGACCAGACACAUACGGGAGGCAGCAGUAAGGAAGACUGGUGAAUGGACGGAAGACUGAACCAGCCAUGCCGCGUGCAGGAAGAAUGCCUUAUGGAUGGUAAACUGCUGUUAGAUGAGAAGAAUAGGGUGUACGUGUGCGUUGAUGACGGUACCAGAUGAAUAAGCACCGGCUAACUACGUG
rnacentral:rRNA from 1 species